rnacentral:rRNA from 1 species
CCUACGGGGGGCAGCAGUGGGGAAUAUUGCACAAUGGGGGAAACCCUGAUGCAGCGACGCCGCGUGAGUGAAGAAGUAAUUCGUUAUGUAAAGCUCUAUCAGCAGGGAAGAAAAUGACGGUACCUGAUUCAGAAGCCCCGGCUAACUACGUGCCAGCAGCCGCGGUAAUACGUAGGGGGCAAGCGUUAUCCGGAUUUACUGGGUGGAAAGGGAGCGUAGACGGCAGUGCAAGGCCGGAGGGAAAGGCGGGGGCUCAACCCCCGGACUGCUGUUGAAACUGUACGGCUGGAGUGCAGGAGAGGUAAGUGGAAUGCCUAGUGUAGCGGUGAAAUGCGUAGAUAUUAGGCGGAACACCAGUGGCGAAGGCGGCUUACUGGACUGUAACUGACGUUGAGGCUCGGAAGCGUGGGGAGCAAACAGGAUUAGAUACCCCAGUAGUC